GUCUAUGGCCAUACCACUCUGAAUGCACCCAAUCUCGUAACUAAACAGGGUCAGCCUCGUUAGUACUUAGAUGGAAGAACAGACAAAGAAGAGCAGCAAGAACACCAUAAAGA
rnacentral:rRNA from 1 species